rnacentral:rRNA from 1 species
AGGGAAUCCUCCACAAUGGACGCAAGUCUGAUGGAGCAACGCCGCGUGAGUGAAGAAGGUUUUCGGACCGUAAAGCUCUGUUGUUGGUGAAGAAGGAUAGAGGUAGUAACUGGCCUUUUAUUUGACGGUAAUCAACCAGAAAGUCACGGCUAACUACGUGCCAGCAGCCGCGGUAAUACGUAGGUGGCAAGCGUUGUCCGGAUUUAUUGGGCGUAAAGCGAGCGCAGGCGGAAGAAUAAGUCUGAUGUGAAAGCCCUCGGCUUAACCGAGGAAUUGCAUCGGAAACUGUUUUUCUUGAGUGCAGAAGAGGAGAGUAGAACUCCAUGUGUAGCGGUGGAAUGCGUAGAUAUAUGGAAGAAUACCAGUGGCGAAGGCGGCUCUCUGGUCUGCAACUGACGCUGAGGCUCGAAAGCAUGGGUAGCGAACAGGAUUAGAUACCCUGGUAGU